rnacentral:rRNA from 1 species
UACGUAGGGUCCGAGCGUUGUCCGGAAUUAUUGGGCGUAAAGGGCUCGUAGGCGGUUUGUCGCGUCGGGAGUGAAAACACCGGGCUUAACUCGGUGCUUGCUUUCGAUACGGGAAGACUGGAGGUAUGCAGGGGAGAACGGAAUUCCUGGUGUAGCGGUGAAAUGCGCAGAUAUCAGGAGGAACACCGGUGGCGAAGGCGGUUCUCUGGGCAUUACCUGACGCUGAGGAGCGAAAGUGUGGGGAGCGAACAGG